AUAGGAAACAGACAAAUUUAAUUUUCAGCAUUUUAUUUCUUAAACCAAACUCUGUUUGUACAAAUUUGUUCCAACAACUCAUAAAAAUAAGUGUAUGCUACAUCAAGUUCAAAUUAACCGAUAAAAAGAACACCUUUUCCCUUUUUUUAAGUGCAAACAAAAGUCUUAAAAUGCAAUUUAAGUAUUAUCUAAGUCUAGCAGGCUUUAGUAACAGUGAGUGAGAGAAAGUAGAACGUGUAACUGCUUUCCGGCUGCACAUUUAAGGUAGAAUUAAAGUGGAAUAGAAUACUGUUCAUGCAGCGAUGUUGUGCUGCCGUGCCGUGCGAGAUCAGCUGUGCACAUUUUGCACCGAACACUGUUUUUUUAAGGCGUCCGACAUUUUUCAAAUGCUUAUUCCAGAUCACGCCACACAAAAGCUUACCGCUCCACAUUAUGGGGUGGCAACUGCACAUACGUGUACAAAUGAUGUAUACCAACUAAUCGAUUAUUAAAUUAGUUGCCAACUAUUUUAUUAAUCGAUGAUUUUAAUCGAUUAAAUCCAUUAGUUGUUGAAGCCCUAAUCCACACACUCAUUCUGUCAGUCUGUAAUACACUACAGGAAGUGUAGGUGGCACUCUAUAAUGGUCUAAAUAUGUUGCUUUGUGAUUACUAGGUGGUUGCUAUGGUAUCCCAAGUGGUUGUUAUCCAUCUGCUUAGCUCAAUCUAAUCCAACUAACCUGUUCAGAUGGUGCCCACCUCCCAUUCACUCUGCUGCUGAUAGAAAUACAGAUAUACAGAAAUACUGUGUGUAUUGUAAACAGUGAAUGUUUGAAUGUAAAACAGAGCUGAUCUCACUGUGUGUGUGUGUGUGUGUGUAAAGCAGAGAUAUAUGUGGUCUGAGGGCGUAAAGAGGGGAAAGGUCAGGAUGAGUCCUACUCUGAACUCUUAAAGCCAUAAUUGGUGCUGUAAAUAUAGCUUACAUACACUGUAUGUACAAAUGCUUAUAUAAAUUCCUAAUGAAAAACAAUUCUACAUAGUAAAUGAGUAGUGAAGUGAUCUAUCAGAUUAUAAAGGAACACAUAAUUAAUCAUGUAGUAACUUAAAAACAGGGUUAAACAAACUAAAAUACUAAUAAGCUGCUCUUAUCUGGGGAGCUGUUUGUUAACUUGUGGUUUCUGAGGCUGGUAACUCUGAUGGGUGGUUCUGAUGAGUGCCAGUUUCAUCAUUAUGAUGUUUUUGCGGUGACGGCAGUUGAAGAAACUUUCUUAAAGUUCUUGAAAUUCUUCUUCUCAGAUUGACUGACCUUCAUUUCUCCUUAAAGUAUUUUUUUCUUUACUCAGUUUAGUAGUUAUUGCCAUAAUAUGGAUUAGUUUUUCACUUUCGUUUUCUGUUAAAAGCAGGGUUUCUGGUCCCGCAGCUUACCAUCAGCUGCCAGAGUAGGUAAAUGGGUAGGAAGGUAGGUAUGUAGGUAGGUAUAUGGGUAGAUAGGUAGGAAGGUAGGUAUGUAGGUAGGUAUAUGGGUAGAUAGGUAGGAAGGUAGGUAUGUAGGUAGGUAUAUGGGUAGAUAGGUAGGAAGGUAGGUAUGUAGGUAGGUAUAUGGGUAGAUAGGUAGGAAGGUAGGUAUGUAGGUAGGUAUAUGGGUAGAUAGGUAGGAAGGUAGGUAUGUAGGUAGGUAUAUGGGUAGAUAGGUAGGAAGGUAGGUAUGUAGGUAGGUAAAUAGGUAGAUAGGUAGGAAGGUAGGUAUGUAGGUAGGUAUAUGGGUAGGCAGGCAGGUAGGAAGGUAUGUAGAUUGGUACGUAGAUACGUAGGUAGAUAGGUAGGUACUACAUAGGUAUGAAGUUAGGUAGGUACGUAGGUUAGCUUGUAAGUACGUAGAUAGGUAGGUAUGUAGGUAGG